rnacentral:rRNA from 1 species
AGGACGAACGCUGGCGGCGUGCCUAACACAUGCAAGUCGAACGGACUGAUUCCCUUCGGGGAUGAAAGUUAGUGGCGGAUGGGUGAGUAACGCGUGAGGAACCUGCCUCUCAGAGGGGGAUAACGUUUGGAAACGAACGCUAAUACCGCAUAACGCUUUUGUACCGCAUGAUACGGAAGCCAAAGGAGCGAUCCGCUGAGAGAUGGCCUCGCGUCUGAUUAGAUAGUUGGUGAGGUAACGGCCCACCAAGUCGACGAUCAGUAGCCGGACUGAGAGGUUGAACGGCCACAUUGGGACUGAGACACGGCCCAGACUCCUACGGGAGGCAGCAGUGAGGGAUAUUGCACAAUGGGCGAAAGCCUGAUGCAGCAACGCCGCGUGAGGGAAGACGGUUUUCGGAUUGUAAACCUCUGUUCCGGGGAAGGAAGACAGUGACCUACCCGGGAGCAAGCCACGGCUAACUACGUGCCAGCCGCUGC